rnacentral:rRNA from 1 species
AUUGAACGCUGGCGGCAUGCUUUACACAUGCAAGUCGAACGGCAGCACAGGGAGCUUGCUCCCGGGUGGCGAGUGGCGCACGGGUGAGUAAUACAUCGGAACGUGUCCUGUUGUGGGGGAUAACUGCUCGAAAGGGUGGCUAAUACCGCAUGAGACCUGAGGGUGAAAGCGGGGGAUCGCAAGACCUCGCGCAAUUGGAGCGGCCGAUGCCCGAUUAGCUAGUUGGUGAGGUAAAGGCUCACCAAGGCGACGAUCGGUAGCUGGUCUGAGAGGACGACCAGCCACACUGGGACUGAGACACGGCCCAGACUCCUACGGGAGGCAGCAGUGGGGAAUUUUGGACAAUGGGGGGCAACCCUGAUCCAGCCAUGCCGCGUGCAGGAUGAAGGCCUUCGGUUGUAACUGCUUUGUCAGGGACGAAAGGACCGUGUUAAUACCAUAGGUCUGCUGACGGUACCGUGAAGAAUAAGCACCGGCUAACUACGU